AUAGCCAUUAGAGGGGUUGUGAUGUGUCUUAGUGAUAUCAUAUCACAGCCUGCUUUGAUGAGCUAUU
rfam:Lingula anatina scaffold138, whole genome shotgun sequence.